CAAGUAUGCCGGCUCACUGUGCUGCAUACAAUUACACACUGCGUCGUACGAUUGAGACAAGGAAACUUGGAAUGACUUUUCAUAGGUUUCCCAGAGACUAUGGGUUGAGGAGGAAUUGGAAGUUUGUCGGCUUAGACCUGGUGUCAUUCCAUCAGUGUUAAACUUCCCGGCUCAUCUUGGAAGAGUACGUGCCAGAAAGACCACGACCAAGCAGCCUUGAGAUCUUAGGCAGCGUCUCCCUCAGACCAAAGAACUACAGACUCUUCACAACCAGCUCAAACUCUUGGUACAGGACCUCACCACACGGGUCAAGAAGGUUUCUGUCUCAUUUCUACUCUGAAGCUCACCUUCUCCUGCUCAAACUGCUGACAAAUGUUUCUGCUGCUCUAAAGUCUGGUCUCCAGAACUUCCUAAAAACUCUCAAAGUCUCUUCUGCUGCAGGUUGCUUUGUAGAACUGUUGCAGAAAACCUCACUAAACCACAUGGAGGGGCCUCAAGAUAGUCGUCCAAAUGAAACCAUACAAAAACCAAACUAGCACAACCCAAACGCUAAAGUCUCCUGCAGCCUACCAGAGAACCUCUGAGAACAGAGAAUCAGGACAGGAACUCUUACCUUCUGGACAACCACCCUUGGUUCACAAACAAGAAUACAGAAUGUGUCUGACCAAAAACCUCUGAAGACUCACUACAGCCAAGAUAAAGACACAACUCAGCUGCACCAAAUCCACUAAUCACUGCACACAUUAGCACCAUGUGCUAACUGUGGCUGAAGAACCUCAUUUACCAAGACAGCUAUCCAGUACAAAGCCCUAAAACACACCAAGAAACACAUUAAAGAUGAUUUUACUGCUGGAAGCUGCAAGCCAACGCCUAAAGAACAAAUUAAAGCAACGGAGCCAAACCCGGUUCACUGGUGAAGAGAAACAGAGGAAAUGUUUGCUGCAGCUAAAUAAAGCAGGAAGACACUGAGCUGCUCAGGUGUUCCUGAUAACACCAAGCAGCCACCUGGACAGCCAAUAGGAACACAGCUUACUGGAAGUCCAGAGGGCUGGGUUAGUGAAGUAAAUUUAGUUUAAAGGUGAAGCAGAAAGUUAACAAAGAAAGAUGAAAACCACAUUCUGAUACCUGAAAUCUCUGAGUUUUCACACAAAGAACACCUGAACAUGUCAAAAUGGUUUCAUAGUAGAACCAUCAUUGUAAAAACAUCAUAGUAUGGUGUGUUGCUCAAAAAACAUUACAACCUGGUUGUCUAGGGUCACCGAGGAGCAACACAAAAACAGGACAAACGCUGGUUUCCAGGGGGUUAGGCAGCUAUUUAUUUGAAAGAGUAAGUUUACAACAACACAACAUGUGAGCAGAAAAAUCACAAAGUCUGUCUUUAGUUCAGCUGAAAAUAUUAGUUUUUGUCUUUUUUAUUGACCAAACUUUUCAGGAAGUAGAUGAAGAAUAAUUAAAGCUCUCAUGUAGAAGUCCAACUUAUU
ensembl:lncRNA